GUGUCCUACGUCUCCAGGCCUCUUCGGCAUGUCGUUUGGGACCACCUGCCCAGCAGGCUAUGACUGUGCCAGGAUUGCAUCACCUCCGCCUUCUCUCUUGCCAUUAACAUGGGCUGCUGUGGCCAUGCUGAGGAAGCCAGAGCAGAGCCAUUCUUGACCAGUUGGACGCUGCCUGCCACCCACCCACCCCACGGGGCGCAUCAGCUCCACUGGCCCAUGUGUUUCCAGGUCUCUGACACCAGCUCCAUGUCCUGCCAGCCUGAUCGUUCUUAUUCCUGAGUUCCCUUCCCUCCUUUUAAGCACUGAACAAAUCCCAGAGCUGAGCCCCUGCCCAGAACCCAGGGGUCUGUCCUUUGCAGCUCUGAGGGCCAGACGGGACUGCACACGGGGAAACAAAUCCAAGGCCUUCUACAUUUCUCAGAUUCUUGAGUGCUUCUCUCUGCUCCCAGCCUCCCUGCCCUCCAGAGGCCAGCCCCGGGUUAAACAGGGGUUGCACAGGCCAGAGACCGCAUCCCGGAUUCCAGACCCACGCGGCUGGAACGGGCUCCGCAAAUUCUGCCAAACUAUGCGAAGCAUUCUUAGGUCCAGCUUCUUCUGAGAAAUCUCAAAAUGGAGAGGGCAAAGGCAAAGAGAGUGAGUUUCCCAGGAAGCCCCAAAGCCCUGGCUUCCGCCCAAACUGGUUUGCGGCCCUGGGAGUCCGUGCUGGGGACGGAGAACGAUGUGGUACUCCCUCUAGCGGCAAACGUCUCGCACAGAGCCCGGCAUCUCUGCGGCUGGAGGCUCGCCCUGCCGCACGCUCUCCUGCCAGGGCCUCGCAGCCUGCCCUCCUCUCCCGGGGAGGGGAGACUUGCUCAGCAACUCCCCUGUGGCCAUGGAAGAGGGGUUGUUGG
rnacentral:lncRNA from 1 species